ensembl:snoRNA
UGGAUGCGGACCCUGCCGGCACCACGGAUGCAGCUGCCCUGCUGCACCCGUGACGUCUUGGUCAACGAGAAGUCGCUAUUUCUACGCUCAGUGCUCAGAACAUUGGGCACCUAGAAUGGUUUUUGUAGCCGACAGUA